AUUGAACGCUGGCGGCAGGCUUAACACAUGCAAGUCGAGCGGAGAUGAGGUGCUUGCACCUUAUCUUAGCGGCGGACGGGUGAGUAAUGCUUAGGAAUCUGCCUAUUAGUGGGGGACAACAUUCCGAAAGGAAUGCUAAUACCGCAUACGUCCUACGGGAGAAAGCAGGGGAUCUUCGGACCUUGCGCUAAUAGAUGAGCCUAAGUCGGAUUAGCUAGUUGGUGGGGUAAAGGCCUACCAAGGCGACGAUCUGUAGCGGGUCUGAGAGGAUGAUCCGCCACACUGGGAAUGGGACACGGCCCAGACUCCUACGGGAGGCAGCAGUGGGGAAUAUUGGACAAUGGGGGGAACCCUGAUCCAGCCAUGCCGCGUGUGUGAAGAAGGCCUUAUGGUUGUAAAGCACUUUAAGCGAGGAGGAGGCUACUGAGACUAAUACUCUUGGAUAGUGGACGUUACUCGCAGAAUAAGCACCGGCUAACUCUGUGCCAGCCGCCGCGGUAAUAC
rnacentral:rRNA from 1 species